AAAAUCCGUUGGCUUUAUUGACCGUGAGGGUUCAAGUCCCUNUACCCCCA
rnacentral:tRNA from 1 species